rnacentral:rRNA from 1 species
AACGAACGCUGGCGGCGUGCCUAACACAUGCAAGUCGAACGGAUUGAAGGGGCUUGCUCCUUCAGUUAGUGGCGCACGGGUGAGUAACGCGUAGAUAAUCUGCCUGAUGAUCUGGGAUAACAGUUCGAAAGGACUGCUAAUACCGGAUAAGCCCACGUGGUCUUUGGACCGUGCGGGAAAAGGGGGGGACCUUCGGGCCUUCUGUCAUCAGAUGAGUCUGCGUACCAUUAGCUAGCUGGUAGGGUAAAGGCCUACCAAGGCGACGAUGGUUGGCUGGUCGGAGAGGAUGAUCAGCCACACUGGCACGGGGACACGGUCCAGACUCCUACGGGAGGCAGCAGUGGGGAAUUUUGCGCAAUGGGGGAAACCCUGACGCAGCAACGCCGCGUGAGUGAUGAAGGCCCUUGGGUCGUAAAGCUCUGUCAGAGGGAAAGAAGUGUAUUUUGGUUAAUACCCGAGAUACUUGACGGUACCCUCAAAGGAAGCACCGGCUAACUCCGUGCCAGCAGCCGCCGUAACAC